GAUGAACGCUGGCGGCGUGCCUAAUACAUGCAAGUCGAGCGAAUGGAUUAAGAGCUUGCUCUUAUGAAGUUAGCGGCGGACGGGUGAGUAACACGUGGGUAACCUGCCCAUAAGACUGGGAUAACUCCGGGAAACCGGGGCUAAUGCCGGAUAACAUUUUGAACCGCAUGGUUCGAAAUUGAAAGGCGGCUUCGGCUGUCACUUAUGGAUGGACCCGCGUCGCAUUAGCUAGUUGGUGAGGUAACGGCUCACCAAGGCAACGAUGCGUAGCCGACCUGAGAGGGUGAUCGGCCACGCGUGGACUGGGACACGGCCCAGACUCCUACGGGAGGCAGCAGUAGGGAGUCUUCCGCAAUGGACGAAAGUCUGACGGAGCAACGCCGCGUGAGUGAUGAAGGCUUUCGGGUCGUAAAACUCUGUUGUUAGGGAAGAACAAGUGCUAGUUGAAUAAGCUGGCACCUUGACGGUACCUAACCAGAAAGCCACGGCUAACUACGUGCCAGCCGCCGCAGUAA
rnacentral:rRNA from 1 species